GACAGAGGGUGCAAACGUUGCUCGGAAUCACUGGGCGUAAAGCGCGUGUAGGCGGUUCAGUAAGUCUGCUGUGAAAGUCCAGGGCUCAACCCUGGGAUGCCGGUGGAUACUGCUGGGCUAGAGUACGGAAGAGGCGAGUGGAAUUCCCGGUGUAGCGGUGAAAUGCGCAGAUAUCGGGAGGAACACCUAUUGCGAAGGCAGCUCGCUGGGACGUUACUGACGCUGAGACGCGAAAGCGUGGGGAGCAAACAGG
rnacentral:rRNA from 1 species